rnacentral:rRNA from 1 species
AACGAACGCUGGCGGCAUGCCUAACACAUGCAAGUCGAACGAGACCUUCGGGUCUAGUGGCGCACGGGUGCGUAACGCGUGGGAACCUGCCCUUAGGUUCGGAAUAACUCCCCGAAAGGGGUGCUAAUACCGGAUAAUGUCUUCGGACCAAAGAUUUAUCGCCUUUGGAUGGGCCCGCGUUGGAUUAGCUAGUUGGUAGGGUAAAAGCCUACCAAGGCGACGAUCCAUAGCUGGUCUGAGAGGAUGAUCAGCCACACUGGGACUGAGACACGGCCCAGACUCCUACGGGAAGCAGCAGUGGGGAAUAUUGGACAAUGGGCGAAAGCCUGAUCCAGCAAUGCCGCGUGAGUGAUGAAGGCCUUAGGGUUGUAAAGCUCUUUUACCCGGGAUGAUAAUGAUAGUACCGGGAGAAUAAGCUCCGGCUAACUCCGUG